AUUGAACGCUGGCGGCAGGCCUAACACAUGCAAGUCGAGCGGAUGAGGGUAGCUUGCUACCUGAUUCAGCGGCGGACGGGUGAGUAAUGCCUAGGAAUCUGCCCGAUAGUGGGGGACAACGUUUCGAAAGGAACGCUAAUACCGCAUACGUCCUACGGGAGAAAGUGGGGGAUCUUCGGACCUCACGCUAUCGGAUGAGCCUAGGUCGGAUUAGCUAGUUGGUGAGGUAAUGGCUCACCAAGGCUACGAUCCGUAACUGGUCUGAGAGGAUGAUCAGUCACGCUGGAACUGAGACACGGUCCAGACUCCUACGGGAGGCAGCAGUGGGGAAUAUUGGACAAUGGGCGAAAGCCUGAUCCAGCCAUGCCGCGGGUGUGAAGAAGGUCUUCGGAUUGUAGAGCACUUUAAGUUGGGAGGAAGGGCUGUAGGCUAAUAUCCUGCAGUUUUGACGUUACCAACAGAAUAAGCACCGGCUAACUUCGUGCCAGCCGCCGCCGUAA
rnacentral:rRNA from 1 species